rnacentral:tRNA from 1 species
UCCAGGGUAGCCUAGUGGACAUGGCAUCUGCCCAGUAAGCGGAACACUGUGGGUUUGAUUCCCAUCCCUGGAC